rnacentral:snRNA from 1 species
GGUGCAUAAGAAUGUUGUG